rnacentral:rRNA from 1 species
GYGGCCCCAAGUCAGGCGAGGCCCA